CAGUUGUGGGGCCACAGAAGGCGGGACUCAGUGAUAGUCUCCACCAUGGCGUAGUCUCCUCUCCUCCUCACCGUCCUUGCUCACUGAGCAGGUGA
rnacentral:pre_miRNA from 1 species